rnacentral:rRNA from 1 species
UUAGUAACUGCGAGUGAAGAGGGAAAAGCUCAAAUUUUAAAUCUGGUAGUCUUUGGCUAUCCGAGUUGUAAUUUAGAGAAGUGUUAUCCGCGCUGGACCGUGUAUAAGUCUCCUGGAAUGGAGCGUCAUAGAGGGUGAGAAUCCCGUCUUUGACACGGACUACCAGGGCUUUGUGAUGCGCUCUCAAAGAGUCGAGUUGUUUGGGAAUGCAGCUCUAAAUGGGUGGUAAAUUCCAUCUAAAGCUAAAUACUGGCGAGAGACCGAUAGUGAACAAGUACCGUGAGGGAAAGAUGAAAAGAACUUUGGAAAGAGAGUUAAAUAGUACGUGAAAUUGUUGAAAGGGAAACGCUUGAAGUCAGUCGUGUUAAUUAGAGAUCAACCUUGCUUUUAUUGCUUGGUGUAUUUUCUGGUUAAUGGGUCAGCAUCAAUUUUGACUAGUGGAAAAAGGUCAGGGGAAUGUGGCAUCCUUGGAUGUGUUAUAGCCCUUGGUUGUAUACAUUGGUUGGGAUUGAGGAACUCAGCAUGCCGCAAGGCCAGGUUUUUAAAACCAUGUUCAUGCUUAGGAUGCUGGCAUAAUGGCUUUAAUCGACCCGUCUUGAAACACGGACCAAGGAGUCUAACAUGCCUGCGAGUGUUUGGGUGGAAAACCCAAGCGCGUAAUGAAAGUGAAAGUUGGGAUCCCUGUCAUGGGGAGCACUGACGCCCGGACCAGACCUUUUGUGACGGAUCCGCGGUAGAGCAUGUAUGUUGGGACCCGAAAGAUGGUGAACUAUGCCUGAAUAG